GCUGGGGUGGCGGAGUGGACAAUCGCACGGGUCUGUAAAACCCGCGUCCGAAAGGGCUACGUAGGUUCGAAUCCUACCCCCAGCA
rnacentral:tRNA from 3 species